rnacentral:rRNA from 2 species
UCGAUCUCAAAUCAAGUAAGACUACCCGCUGAACU